rnacentral:rRNA from 1 species
UACGAAGGGUGCAAGCGUUACUCGGAAUUACUGGGCGUAAAGGGUGCGUAGGUGGUUUGUUAAGUCUGCUGUGAAAUCCCCGGGCUCAACCUGGGAAUGGCAGUGGAUACUGGCAAGCUAGAGUGCGGUAGAGGGUAGUGGAAUUCCCGGUGUAGCAGUGAAAUGCGUAGAGAUCGGGAGGAACACCAGUGGCGAAGGCGGCUACCUGGACCAGCACUGACACUGAAGCACGAAAGCGUGGGGAGCAAAC